CAAGCCUCUCCUAAGCAGCCUUUUUAAUGCUGCUGGGGUCUUGGUAGAAGCGCGUGCAAAAGCCAUUCUGGACUUCCUGGAUGCCCUGCUAGAGCUGUCUGAAGAGCAGCAGUUUGUGGCUGAGGCCCUGGAGAAGGGGACCCUUCCUCUGUUGAAGGACCAGGUGAGACAGCCUGGGCUGAGGGCCAUGGUCAUAGUGGAAGGGAAUGCCCAUAUUCUCAAGGGACCCAGAAGUCCCAGGGUACAGCCCCUUCUUAUUCCAUAGUUUUCUGCCGGCUCACAUCCAUGCAGCUGGUUUGUGACAAUUCCCUGGACAGA
rnacentral:lncRNA from 1 species